rnacentral:rRNA from 1 species
UACAGAGGGUGCGAGCGUUAAUCGGAAUUACUGGGCGUAAAGGGCGCGUAGGCGGUUAGAUAAGUUAGAUGUGAAAUCCCUGGGCUUAACCUAGGAACUGCAUCUAAGACUGUAUGACUGGAGUGCGGUAGAGGGUAGUGGAAUUUCCGGUGUAGAGGUGAAAUUCGUAGAUAUCGAGAGGAACACCGGUGGCGAAGGCGGCCUUCUGGACAGUUCCUGACACUGAGGCACGAAGGCCAGGGGAGCAAACGGG